rnacentral:rRNA from 1 species
GAUGAACGCUGGCGGCGUGCCUAAUACAUGCAAGUCGAGCGAACAGAUGAGGAGCUUGCUCCUCUGACGUUAGCGGCGGACGGGUGAGUAACACGUGGAUAACCUACCUAUAAGACUGGGAUAAUUUCGGGAAACCGGAGCUAAUACCGGAUAAUAUAUUGAACCGCAUGGUUCAAUAGUUAAAGACGGUUUUGCUGUCACUUAUAGAUGGAUCCGCGCCGCAUUAGCUAGUUGGUAAGGUAACGGCUUACCAAGGCAACGAUGCGUAGCCGACCUGAGAGGGUGAUCGGCCACACUGGAACUGAGACACGGUCCAGACUCCUACGGGAGGCAGCAGUAGGGAAUCUUCCGCAAUGGGCGAAAGCUUGACGGAGCAACGCCGCGUGAGUGAUGAAGGUCUUCGGAUCGUAAAACUCUGUUAUUAGGGAAGAACAAAUGUGUAAGUAACUAUGCACGUCUUGACGGUACCUAAUGAGAAAGCCCCGGCUAACUACGUG